CAGGUCCUCGGCCAUCAUGAACAUUCCAAACCAUGACACCUUUUGAUGAUGGGAGGUCACCACCCGUAUGAAUCCAUCAUCAGCCUUCCGGGUUAUGGGUGCACUUCAGAGAAAAACUAAUGACAGCCUUGGUACCGUGGACAUCUUCAUCCUCCACCGGGCCGGGUCCCCUCGCCUGUCCAGAGAGGCCACGUGAGCAGAGGAGGCCUGGCUGCCUUCCUGUCUCCAUGGAUGCUGUUGGAGUCUCCUUCAGCUGUCUGGGUUGUAACCUCUCCGGUUUUCCAAAACAGAAAUAAAUAUCCAGAUUCAUCUUUCAUCAAAAUGGAGCUUUGCUGCAAAGAAAAAACGUUACUCUAACUCUACAGGAUCUGAAGUUGAAGCCGCCUUGAGAUACAUUGAGAGGUGGCACCUGGGGUCACUUCCACGCUGAGGCGCAGAACACAGUUCUCAGCAGAACUGACCGCCUGAGGGGCAAAAGUGAUAAGAGACAUUUUGCAUGAGGUAUUUGAAAUUCAAGAACAUUUUGAUUCUUCUUGAAGUGCAGGAAAUGUAUAUGCUCCCUUAAAAACAACAACAACAAACAAUAGGAGCUUCACCCUCAGAAACUCUUAGAAAUUGGAACCUGGCAGACACUUCCCAUGGUGGUCGGGAGAAAGAUCCACAUGUCACAGUGGUACCUGAAUAUGCACCAAUUAGCCCAAACACAAACAAAAACCCCCAACAAAACCCGAAGUCCCCCUCCCACCCCCUAGUAACACACAACUCAAAGGGAGUCAGAACUCCAGUGCAGUAAAGAAAGCUGAGGAAAAGGUU